UACGUAGGGGGCAAGCGUUGUCCGGAUUUAUUGGGCGUAAAGAGCGUGUAGGCGGCCAUACAGGUCAGCUGUGAAAACUCGAGGCUCAACCUCGAGACGUCGGUUGAAACCGUAUGGCUAGAGUCCGGAAGAGGAGAGUGGAAUUCCCGGUGUAGCGGUGAAAUGCGCAGAUAUCGAGAAGAACACCCGUGGCGAAGGCGGCACUCUGGGACGGUACUGACGCUGAGACGCGAAAGCGUGGGGAGCGAACAGG
rnacentral:rRNA from 1 species